AGCAGUAGCCGCGGGAAUACGUAGGUGGCAAGCGUUGUCCGGAAUUAUUGGGCGUAAAGCGCGCGCAGGCGGAUCGGUCAGUCUGUCUUAAAAGUUCGGGGCUUAACCCCGUGAUGGGAUGGAAACUGCCAAUCUAGAGUAUCGGAGAGGAAAGUGGAAUUCCUAGUGUAGCGGUGAAAUGCGUAGAUAUUAGGAAGAACACCAGUGGCGAAGGCGACUUUCUGGACGAAAACUGACGCUGAGGCGCGAAAGCCAGGGGAGCGAACGGGAUUAGAUACCCCAGUAGUCCCUGUCUCUUAUACC
rnacentral:rRNA from 1 species